rnacentral:rRNA from 1 species
CUGAGGCACGAAAGCNUGGGGAGCAAACAGNAUUAGAUACCCUNGUAGUCCACGCCGUAAACGAUGUCAACUAGCUGUUGGAUAUAUGAAAAUAUUUAGUGGCGCAGCAAACGCGAUAAGUUGACCGCCUGGGGAGUACGGUCGCAAGAU